GGCCAGCAGGAAAUGGCAAAACAUUUUUCAAGUGCUGGAAAGAACUUUCAAUGCAGAAUUGUAUAGCCGAAAUAUUCUUCAGGAACUUUUCGUUCCUUUUCGGAAAUCAAGAUAUACUCUGAUGACAAAAAACUGAAAGAAUCUGUUGCCAGCUGACUUGCCCUAAUGAAUAGCUAAAGGAAAUUCUCUAAGCAAAACGAAAAUGAGAGAAAAAGAAAUCUUGGCCCAUCAGGAAGGAAGAAAGAAUGAUAAAGCCAAAAGCAUGGAUUCUGAAUUCCAUUAGGACAACUGAUGCCAACCAGUUUGAAGACCCCCACAGAGGAACCGAAUCAGCAUGAGAAUACAGCUGUUUCUUCUCCCUGUCCCAUGACUUCACCCUGCACUCUUCAACCCAUCAACAAUUCAACACUUCGGCCUCCUCCAACACCCUUGAAAUCCCUAGCCCCAAACUCCUCAAAGAUAUGAAUUUGAGGUUCCUUUCCAUCUCCUCAUUUGGUGACCCUGCGAUUAAACCUCUUUCUCUGCUGCAACCCAGUGUCACAGCCUAUUGAUUUGUCCCUCACAUUGGGCAACAAACCUAUUACGGUUACAAGUGAGGUUUCUUUUUCUUCCCCAUCGUUUCCUACUCCUUCAACUUCCUUAAAGCAAAAAGGGCAAUUUAUUCCUGGGUGUUUCAUAAAACACAAGGGCAGGAUAAAGCGG
rnacentral:lncRNA from 10 species